UGCAGUCGGACGGUAGCACAAAGGAGCUUGCUCCUUGGGUGACGAGUGGCGGAGGGGUGAGUAGUGUCUGGGGAUCUGCCCGAUAGAGGGGGAUAACCACUGGAAACGGUGGCUAAUACCGCAAAACGUCGCAAGACCAAAGAGGGGGACCUUCGGGCCUCUCACUAUCGGAUGAACCCAGAUGGGAUUAUCUAGUAGGCGGGGUAGUGGCCCACCUAGGCCACGAUCCCUAUCUGGUCUGAGAGGAUGACCACCCACACUGGAACUGACACACGGUCCACACUCCUACGGGAGGCAGCAGUGGGGAAUAUUGCACAGUGGGCGCAAGCCUGAUGCACCCGUGCCGCGUGUAUGAAGAAGGCCUUCGGGUUGUAAAGUACUUUCAGCGGGGAGGAAGGCGAUGGGGUUAAUAACCGUGUCUAUUGACGUUACCCGCAAAAGAAGCACCGGCUAACUCCGUGCCAGCAGCCGCGGUAAUACAGAGGGUGCAAGCGUUAAUCGGAAUUACUGGGCGUAAAGCGCACGCAGGCGGUCUGUUAACUCAUAUGUGAAAUCCCCGGGCUUAACCUGGGAACUGCAUUUGAAACUGGCGGGCUUGACUCUUGUAGAGGGGGGUAGAAUUCCGGGUGUAGCGGUGAAAUGCGUAGAGAUCUGGAAGAAUACCGGUGGCGAACGCGG
rnacentral:rRNA from 1 species